AAUUGAGAAAUACGGCCUAAUGGAUACUGGUUUUUCCCUGGUCUAUCCAAUCACUUAAGUUACUCCUCUUUGCAUGAGGAGUUGCUAGUAAUUGAGAGUUGCUAAGAAUGGAAGAUUUUUCUUUCGCACUUCUGAGAGGGCAGAAGUGUUUGUCAUAGUCUCCAGUACUUUCCUUAGAGAAAGGAAAUGUUGAUGGAAGUUCCUACAUUUUGAGCCAAGGCAGAAUCACAGGGCACAGAUAAUGAAAUUUCUAUUUAUAACAUAGACUCGUAUAGAUUUCUCCACCGGAAGAACACAGGCAGUUGGAUUGCUGAUCCCACAUGUGUCCAAAUAUAUUUUGUGUGACUUAGCCAAUCUCAAGGCUUCCUGGAGCUGCAAAUUCAAGCAGAUGGGCCUGGCUGGGGUGACACCACAGCCGGUUUGCUGAAAGCUUCCUCUGGAAGCUUCCUCUUGAAGAAAGAAUGUGCACAUUAAAGUAGGAUGACCGUGACCAUUCAUCUGGUUUGUCUGGACUGUCUGGUGUUCUCCUGUUGUACUAGCACCCCAAAUGGUUUCGCAUUUGUCACUCUCAAAAAUGUCCCAAUUUAGAUGAUAAAUUAUGUGCUUACUUCAACAUGGAGACACAUCAUAUUCAGCUUGCCAAAGAACAAGAUCUAAAAUCACAGGAAAAGCUUUCUUUCCUAAUGAGUUAGGCAUUUUGCAACAGCAGCUCUAAGAUUGACAGAUGUAGGGAUGGUAGAUCCAUCUGUACUCAUCUGUCUGAGAGAUUUUUUCUCCUGAUAGCUAGAGAAUGAAAAGGCCCAAAAGACUAAAUAUAGAGAAAUGGAUAAUGAAAGAUCUAGAAUUCUAGCAAGCAACAUGAAAAGCCCUCAACAUUUUGGAGACCUUACUGUCAAGGUCCUAACCAGCCAAAAUGCUUGAGGGGAUUCUUGGAGACUGCAGAUCACACUCUAGAUCUACCAAGCUUAAAAAGACACACUCAUUGGUAGUGCUGUGUGGCUCUUGGCGUGCCAGGGUGCCAUUUCCUGUAGAGCAGUGCACUGCACAUCCAGCAGGCUGAACCCACCUGGGCUGAGGUGUGGAGUAUGUCUGCAGGAUUUCUGACUGACCAUUAUCCCCACUGGAUUGAAGCUCACUGCUGAGAUUGCUGGAGUCAGGCAACGGGGCACAUUCCUCCAUCUGGAGGGAGCUAAGUGAACUCCCACUUUCUGAAACUUUGUGGUGUAUUUGAGAUGACAAGAUGGAGAAGUAGGAAGAAUGCAGAAAGAUUAUUUAAUGUUGGGGAAGAAUUCUUUCAACAGGAAAAUAUUUCUCUUAGUGGAGGACACAAAGCCAACAGGAGAUUCAGGGCAAAGAGGGAACUGUCUGUUAUCAGAUUUAUCAAUGUGGCUUAGAUCCAAAUUUGAUAAACUAUCCUUUGAGGGACUCUAGUUUUCUGAGGAUAGCAUCCUGCACUCUCUAGGGACAAAGGAAAAAGACUGGAAAAGCCCAGCUCAGCCAUGUCCCUGUACUUUCAGAAUUUGAGGAAGUGAAGGGGUUGGGGAGAGGGUAAUAGAGAUAAAGGGAGACAUAGAUCAUGAUCAUCAUAAAGUGGGGGAAAAAGAUACAAACUAGGUAAAUAUCAUGUGUAAUGAUGCUAUAUAUUGUUGAUAGACACACAGAUGAUAAAAUUAUACAAACAUGCAUGGGAAAAAUACAAAUCCACUAUAGAGAAACAGUUACCCCUCGGGAGGAAGGUAAGGGACAGAGAUGGGCCGUGAUGGGGGUUUUAGAUAUCUCUGUCACCAUUUUCCCCAAAUUAUAUGGGAAGUGAUUAUUUUGAAAGCAGUGACAGGAACCUGACUUCUGGGAUUCUGCACUCCUGUGGGGUCCUCUGAGAGCUCCCCUGCUCCUGGCUCCUGUAGUGGAGUCCGGAGAAGGAUCAGGACAGAACUGCAUAUUGCUGGGUGUGAGGUUCACCUGGCUCUUCCCCCCAGCAUGCAAUUGCCAAGGUUUGCCUAAAACCCAGUCAUCAUAUAUUUUGGAUACCAUGGAUUCAAAGUCACAUAUUUUCUUAUAAGGAGAAUGGUGUGAGGUUUUAAUAAGUAACCUUUUCAGCCAAUCAAUGACCCGUAUACAGAGGGGGUUAAUGGCCCUGGGAAAAGCUCAUACUGAGCAGGGAGUGGAAUGUGUUGGGGAGAAUCCAAUAAAACGUGGAUGCGUGGUAAGAAAUGAGUUAGGGCGCGUGGAAAAGGGUUUCCUGGGUUUAUAAUAAGGACCCUCUCCUCUAUUCAUGCUCCUCGAGAUCAGUGGCUCUCAGAAUGCGGUCACCAACUGGCAGCAUCAGCACCACCUGGGAACUUGCUAGACAUGCAAAUUAUUGAACCCCAGCCCAGACCUACUGAAUCAGAAACUCUGGGAGUGGUGCCAUCAAUCUGUGUUUUAACAAGCCCUCCAGGUGAUUCUGAGAGACACUAAAAUUUGGUAACUGCUUCUUUAGACUCACGUCUUGUUGCCUAUAAUGAAGACAAGUCAUUAAAAGUCACCACCACCACCCUAACAAUCCCCAUCCCCAGUCCCAUCCGGUCCAACCAAAAAGAAAAAAUGGGAGAACAAAGAGGGUCAACAAAACCCAAGUGAAGGACAGGCUUAAACUGGUAGUUGAGGAGACUGUUAGGGAGUGAUGACGGUAGAGCAGACCGAGUUACCCUAUGACGCAGAGCGACAGAGACACCUACAGCCAAGACAAAGAACGAAAAUAGUGCUCAAAUUAAAAUUCAGUAAAACAAGCUACAAGUUAAAAACAGAAUAAGGGGAAGAUAAGUGAAAUUUUCCAUAAAAAUAAUCACAUCUGCCCGAUAUAGUGCUUCCUUCGUAUCAGGCACUAAGAAAGGUGCCUUUUCUAACCCAUUUAAUUCUCCCGAUAACUCCAUGAGGCAGGAGCAUUACUAUCUCUGUUUUAUGGCGAGGAAAAGAAGGCCCAGAAAGAAUGGGUACUUUGCCCAAAGUCACACAGCUUGGUAGGGAAAGUGAAGAGCAGAAAUACAGCUAGGACAGCAAUGAAAAACAUACUUAUUAAGAGAGGGCUUGUUAAAAAUAAAAUAAAGUCCUUGAGGUGAAUGAGCUUAAAAAGAAAGGUUGAGAAUUAGAAGAGAAAAAAAUACGCGGGUGGGAUGGGAAACAGAAUAAACAGACAGAAAAACCAAGGUGUCUCAUGGAGUCUGGAAGUGAGUGUGCCUUGCCAGCGUCUGAGGCGGGCAGAGGCCUCUACUGUCCUGGUGAAGUAGUGAGGGGUGGGGAGCCUGGCACGCUCCUCACCUUCCCUUUCACUCGCCACUCCCUCCUACCCCACCCCAGGAGCUUUCAACUCUCCACAGAGCUGGAAGCAGGUCUUAGACCAGCAAAUAUCCCUGCUAUAAGAACACCAUACCUGUUACAGUGAUGGGGCCUCAUUUAGUUCUUUUCUACCAAAGGUAGAAAACCUUUCGUUUGUCUGGGUUAAUUAGGAGUUAAUUUGCUUUGAAUCGAUACAAGUGUGUUGGUUUGGUUUUGUUUUCUCUGAAUCUUGCAUACGACGGCUUCAAUGUUUUUGAAGACAUCAAUUUUCUGCUAACGGUCCAGGAGAGAUAAGAACCCUAAGCUCAUUGAAAUAACUACUACUAUUCACUGAGUUUAAGAACAAUUAAAAUGGCUUCUAUAUUUUAAGUUGUAAGUGCUUUUUUUCCCUCUUCGUCUUAUUCUGACUCUUCAGUGAAGAGGCACUAUUAUGAUGUUCCAAGAACAUGGACAGAAUAUCAGAGCAGCUCACAGCCCAGUGAUCCAGCAAUCUUGGAGGUGAAGAGAGAACAAGGCUUUAGCCUGAUGUAUCCAGAGGCAUCCUGGGUGUGGGCCAAGAACGAACGGCCUGAAGCUGUGGCUAAUGAGAAAUCCUUGGCUUGAAAGCUGGUGGGAAGUUUAUUGUUUUCUCUCCUCCGGGAGAGAUCCAAAGGAGAAGCGAAUUCCUUCCUGACCGCAGAUGAUCAAAGCUGGGUGAAAUGCUCAGUCAAACUGGAGGUGAAACUGCAAUUGUGGGCGGCUGUCUCCACUGAGUGAAAAACUGAUACUUGUGCUACUUUUGAAAAAGAAAAUUUUUAGAAUUAGUGUUCUCUUCUAAAAGAGAAAAAGGAAAUGUUGGAAAUAAUGAAACUGAAAGGAAAAGAUUAAUUGUGCAAUAUGAACAUGAUUCAGAGUGAAUACAUUUUAAUUAAUAACAUUUUGAUUAGGUAGUAUCUGCCUAUAUGAAAAUUUUAAACUACUAUGGCAGCAAAUAUGCGAUUAAAAAGAAUUCUCCCUCUCACUCCUUUCCCUGAUUCUCUAGGUUUUCCACUCAGUAGGCAACCAAAUAUAGUUAAAUUUAGUUCAAAGAUUUUUAAAUGUUUUAAAUUGUCAAUCAUUUUCUAUUUCAUUUUAUUUUCAGGGAGGGGGCACGCUAUGGAUUACCUUGUAAGUUUGCUGUGCUUUUACUUGGCAAAUACCUAAAAACAACCUUUCUUCUACAUUCAAUACGCACUGAUGAACCAAUAUUUCUGUUGAUGCAAAAUAAUCAAUAACCAUUCUAUAGGUAAGAGAGAUAGGUGAGUUUACUUGAGCCAGAGUGAAGACUAUAACCCUGGAAGGCCUUUUCCAGAGAGGAAGAAAGCAUUCCGGAGAAGCAUGGUUUUCAGUACAGUCUUACACAUUUUUAAAACAAAGAACAUACAUUCAACACACCCAGGAUACAUAGUCAUCAAAGUUUCAAAGAGAUUUCCAGUUGUGGAUUAGCAGGUCAACAUGACCCUGAUGUCAGGAAAGGGACUAAUCCGGGCGUUACCAGUAGGGUGUAGGAGGGGAAGUAUGCAUUCUUAUCUUAAGAGAGCGCAUUCUUUAAUGGUUAAAGCAGAUGUGCAAUGUCUGUUUGAUAGACUAUAAGUCAGGCUUUUUUAGUUUAAGCUCAAUCAGUUUUAAACCUUAAUGGUUACCCCAUAUUCCUCACUAUGUGAAAAUCUCUUGUCAUUUCCAUGUUGUUGAGGUACUUUUACAGUGAAAUAGGAUUUUCUAGAUCCUAAGAGAAGCGUGUGGAUAGAAUGUGUAAUGUCUUUUGCUAUUACAUACAGCUUGAUAGACAGGUUCUUUUUCUUUUUCUGCUUUUUCUCCCCAAAUCCCCCCAGUACAUAGUUGUACAUUACAGUUGUGGUCCUUCUAGUUGUGGCAUGUGGGACGCUGCCUCAGCUUGGCCUGACGAUCCGUACCCAGGAUCCUAACCAGCAAAACCCUGGGCUGGCGAAGUGGAGCGUGCGAACUUAACCGCUCGACCAUGGGGCCAGCCCCGACAAACAGAUUCUUAAUAAAAUAUGUUGGAGAUGCUGUAAGAUCAGCUUUAAGAAAAAGAACAUGAGAAAGGGAGUAAUAAUAAUGAUGACUGUUAUUUAUUAGACCUACCAUCUGCUGAGUCCUUCAAUGCGUUACUUCAAAAUUUGAAGCUUAAAUAUUCAUGGCAACUCUGAAAGGUAAUUAGCAUCCCUGUUUAAAGGUUCAGACACUUACCCAAGCUCUACAAUUACUGACAGCCAGAAUUUAAACCCAGGCAUUUCUAGUUUCAAAAUCUAUGAGCUUUCUCUUUUACUAUAUUGUUUCUCACACUGGUCCAUGCUACCUCUUAAAAGGGGAUGGCAUAUGGAACUGAUGAGAUCACAAGAAAGGGGGAAUAAAAGCAAGUAGUAUAGGAAAACAUGUAAGAAGAAACCAUAGGGUUCAAACAGAGGUCAGGUUAUUAAAAAAAAUUAUGGGCUAUGUUAAAAAGAACUAUUCCAAGAUUUAUAUAGCAUCACAAACAUUUCCCUUUUGCUAUUGUCAUUUCUGUAGUACUUAUAAGAAUUCUGUUGUCAUAUUAGAUCCUCUCUGGGAGAAGGAUGGUUUUUCUUUCUUUCUGGAUGUUUGUGCUAUUGUGUCUGCAGUUUCCACUAUGGUUCACUGGACCUGGAUUGUCUGAAACAGACUCCUGGACAAUUGGACUGAAGGAUAACAAUAUUAGUAGCAAGAUCUCCACACUGACCCUAAACUUUGUGGUUACUGGUGGGGUACCUAUAGAAUAUUUUAACAAUUUUCUGAGAAAAAGAAUGUAAUAAUUAUCUAUUACUGCAUAACUGGUUACCUUAAAACUUAACGGCUUAAAACAACAACAUUAAUUAUCUUGCAGUUACUAUGGGUAAAGAAUCCAGGUACCUCUCUGGCUCAGGGCCUCUCACAAGUUUGCAGUUAAGGGCUUGUCUGGGACUGCUGUCAUCUCAAGUCUCAAAUGAUGGAAGAUCCACUUCUAAAUUCAUUCAUGUGGCUGUUGGCUGGAGACAUCAGUUCCUUUCCACAUGAGGCUCUCCAUAGAGCAGUUCACAGCAUGGCAGCUGGCUUCCCUCAGAGCGAGCAGACAGGUCAAUAAAUUCAACGCAUACUCAAGGGGAGAGGAUGGCACAAGAGCAUGAAUACCAGUAUACUGGAUCCUUGGGGGCCAUAUCAGAGGACGCCUACCACAAAGAUACUGUUCUAUAAUUGCCUGCUUACAUAGAACCUGCUUACUUCUUUGUUUCUCCCUUUCAGCUGUAUGCUCUGUAGAAACAAGGGCUGCCUCUGUUUUGCUCACUAUUGUAACAGAUGUGGUACCUCAUACGUAGUCAGUAAAUGUUUGCUUAAUAAAUGAACAGGUUAAGUGAUAGAUUUUAAAAGUAGAUAUUAUGAGUCUCAUACAUGUGAACACCUAUCAAAUCUUUUAUUUAACUCAUUAAUUAAUGAGAGAAGAAGUGAGAUAUAAACCACUCAAAUGAAAACUCAAAAUACCAAAUAUUUAUUGUCAGAUAAGGAAUACUGACAUGAUUUUUACUAAUGGGUGAAAAUUGGCAAAACAGGUUCAUAUUCACAGGGCAAUAAUCAGUGGAUACACUGGACAAAAUUUGCAUUUCUAAGGAAAAAAUUAUUCUCAUUACUAACGGUUUUCAACAGUUAAUGUAUACCUCUAAGUGUUGUAAAAUAAUAUAGUCAAAAGCAAAGGCAGAGAUAACCUGUAUUGAUGAACUAGACAGUGUGCUCACUAAAUUUCACAAUCUUCCAAAAUUUUUUCUUGCAAAUGAAUGGUACAGACUGGGUGAAAAUGCACCCCAGGAUAAGGCCAAGCAAGAGAACAGUCUUAACUCUUUUCUUUUCAAAUUCAUAUAAACAGUUAGGACACUUAAUUGGGAACUUAAGGUUUUUGAUUAUUAGGGAACAGGACUUUCUAAAUAUGUUGAAGUAUCUCAGAUGGAUCUCCAUACCUUUACCAUAUGUUACUGCUCCCUUACACAUGGUUUUGACCUUGUGUAAUAGAGAGUAUCUCUGGCAAAAAAGUAAAACCAAACCAUCCCAAUGCUCCAGGGGGUGAUAGAGUCUUGUAGGUAGAUUCCAAGAUCCCAAGGCUUAUGAGACCCGGGGUUCUAUCAGCAAUUGUCAAACCCAGGCAGACCAGCCACAUCAACAUUUUCCUAGGUGGGGAUAAGGAUAACGUCCUGGUCAAAUUUUGACUCUUGCUCUCUAUCCUAGAUAUAUUGAAUCAAAAUAUGCUGAAGUGAGGCCUGGAUAAUCUUAUUUUUAAAGUACUCCUCAGAUAAUUCCCUGUGGCCAAUUUUAUUACCCACUAGUCUAGAUAAUUUCUCACUGAAGGCAUUCAUAGUGUUGUGGCUAUGAGCAAAUUGCAUCUGAAGAGUUUAUGGAGGCCUCUUUGUCUACCAUGAAGAGGUUACAGGUGGCUUUCUCUUUUAGUGUCUCCUGGUGAAUCCAGGGAUAAAGGUUUCUCCCCUGCUAGGUCAUUAAUAAAGAAAGCUAAACUUUGAGAAAACACAUACCAUGCUAUACCUUAGCUGUAAAAUCAUUACAGAAAAAAAAAGCAAGAAGCACAAACACAAUCUCUUCCUAUAUCCUCAAACCAUAGACCAUGGUGUUAUAGAAUUACCUAAUUUCC
rnacentral:lncRNA from 1 species